AGUGGCGGACGGGUGAGUAACGCGUGGGUAACCUGCCCUGUACAGGGGGAUAACAGUUAGAAAUGACUGCUAACACCGCAUAAGCGCACGGUAAGGCAUCUUAGUGUGUGAAAAUAUUAAUAGGUACAGGAUGGGCCCGCGUCUGAUUAGCCAGUUGGCGGGGUAACGGCCUACCAAAGCGACGAUCAGUAGCCGGCUUGAGAGAGUGAACGGCCACAUUGGGACUGAGACACGGCCCAAACUCCUACGGAAGGCAGCAG
rnacentral:rRNA from 1 species